rnacentral:rRNA from 1 species
UGCGUAACACGUGAGGAACCUACCCCGGACUCUGGGAUAACAGGUGGAAACGCCUGCUAAUACCGGAUGCCGUCGGACCAUCGCAUGGUGGACCGACGAAAGAAUUUCGGUCCGGGAGGGCCUCGCGGCCUAUCAGCUUGUUGGUGGGGUAACGGCCUACCAAGGCAUCGACGGGUAGCUGGUCUGAGAGGAUGAUCAGCCACACUGGGACUGAGACACGGCCCAGACUCCUACGGGAGGCAGCAGUGGGGAAUCUUGCGCAAUGGGCGAAAGCCUGACGCAGCAACGCCGCGUGCGGGAAGAAGGCUCUCGGGUUGUAAACCGCUUUCAGCAGGAACGAAACUGACGGUACCUGCAGAAGAAGGUGCGGCCAACUACGUGCCAGCAGCCGCGGUGACACGUAGGCACCAAGCGUUGUCCGGAUUUAUUGGGCGUAAAGAGCUCGUAGGCGGUUCAGUAAGUCGGGUGUGAAAACUCAGGGCUCAACUCUGAGACUGCACCCGAUACUGCUGUGACUUGAGUACGGUAGGGGAGCGGGGAAUUCCUGGUGUAGCGGUGAAAUG